rnacentral:rRNA from 1 species
UGCAAGUCGAGCGGACAGAAGGGAGCUUGCUCCCGGAUGUUAGCGGCGGACGGGUGAGUAACACGUGGGUAACCUGCCUGUAAGACUGGGAUAACUCCGGGAAACCGGAGCUAAUACCGGAUAGUUCCUUGAACCGCAUGGUUCAAGGAUGAAAGACGGUUUCGGCUGUCACUUACAGAUGGACCCGCGGCGCAUUAGCUAGUUGGUGAGGUAACGGCUCACCAAGGCGACGAUGCGUAGCCGACCUGAGAGGGUGAUCGGCCACACUGGGACUGAGACACGGCCCAGACUCCUACGGGAGGCAGCAGUAGGGAAUCUUCCGCAAUGGACGAAAGUCUGACGGAGCAACGCCGCGUGAGUGAUGAAGGUUUUCGGAUCGUAAAGCUCUGUUGUUAGGGAAGAACAAGUGCAAGAGUAACUGCUUGCACCUUGACGGUACCUAACCAGAAAGCCACGGCUAACUACGUGCCAGCAGCCGCGGUAAUACGUAGGUGGCAAGCGUUGUCCGGAAUUAUUGGGCGUAAAGGGCUCGCAGGCGGUUUCUUAAGUCUGAUGUGAAAGCCCCCGGCUCAACCGGGGAGGGUCAUUGGAAACUGGGAAACUUGAGUGCAGAAGAGGAGAGUGGAAUUCCACGUGUAGCGGUGAAAUGCGUAGAGAUGUGGAGGAACACCAGUGGCGAAGGCGACUCUCUGGUCUGUAACUGACGCUGAGGAGCGAAAGCGUGGGGAGCGAACAGGAUUAGAUACCCUGGUAGUCCACGCCGUAAACGAUGAGUGCUAAGUGUUUAGGGGGUUUCCGCCCCUUAGUGCUGCAGCUAACGCAUUAAGCACUCCGCCUGGGGAGUACGGUCGCAAGACUGAAACUCAAGGAAUUGACGGGGGCCCGCACAAGCGGUGGAGCAUGUGGUUUAAUUCGAAGCAACGCGAGAACCUUACCAGUCUUGACAUCUCUGACACCC